rnacentral:rRNA from 1 species
UACGAAGGGGGGCUAGCGUUGCUCGGAAUUACUGGGCGUAAAGGGCGCGUAGGCGGGUCGUUUAGUUAGAGGUGAAAGCCCAGGGCUCAACCCUGGAAUUGCCUUUAAUACUGGCGACCUUGAGUAUGGCAGAGGUGUGUGGAACUCCGAGUGUAGAGGUGAAAUUCGUAGAUAUUCGGAAGAACACCAGUGGCGAAGGCGACACACUGGGCCAUUACUGACGCUGAGGCGCGAAAGCGUGGGGAGCAAACAGG